rnacentral:rRNA from 1 species
AUUGAACGCUGGCGGCAGGCUUAACACAUGCAAGUCGAACGAUGAAGAUAUAGCUUGCUAUAUUGGAUUAGUGGCGGACGGGUGAGUAACACUUAGGAAUCUACCUUUUAGCGGGGGAUAGCUCGGGGAAACUCGAAUUAAUACCGCAUAAUUUCUACGGAAUAAAGAGGGCUUUUAGCUCUCACUAGAAGAUGAGCCUAAGUAAGAUUAGCUAGUUGGUGGGGUAAAAGCCUACCAAGGCGACGAUCUUUAGCUGGUCUGAGAGGAUGAUCAGCCACACUGGGACUGAGACACGGCCCAGACUCCUACGGGAGGCAGCAGUGGGGAAUAUUGGACAAUGGGGGCAACCCUGAUCCACCCAUGCCGCGUGUGUGAAGAAGGCCUUUUGGUUGUAAAGCACUUUAAGCAGUGAAGAAGACCUAUUGGUUAAUACCCAAUAGCGAUGACAUUAACUGCAGAAUAAGCACCGGCUAACUCUGUGCCAGCAGCCGCGGUAAUACAGAGGGUGCCAGCGUUAAUCGGAAUUACUGGGCGUAAAGCGAGCGUAGGUGGUUAAAUAAGUCAGAUGUGAAAGCCCUGGGCUCAACCUAGGAACGGCAUCUGAAACUAUUUAACUAAGUAGGUGAGAGGGAAGUAUAAUUUCAGGUGUAGCGGUGAAUGCGUAAGAUCUGAAGGAAUACCGAUGGCGAAGGCAGCUUUCCUGGCAUCAUACUGACACUGAGGCUCGAAAGCGUGGGUAGCAAACAGG